GAGCACAGAGACUAGUAUUGUCAUGAAACAGGGUCCAAAGAUGUUCCCAAGGCAGAGAUGUAGAACCUAAACCUACCCUACCGGAGAAAUCAGUUGCAGGUUACACCCACUUACCCAGCCAGCUGCUCAUGCCCAGUCUCUUGCAUCACACUCGUAGAAAAAUAAUGGCCCAUUUAAUAGGAAAGUGUCUCAUCGUCUGCCUCUUAAUUGCUCCCCUCCAUCUUUGCUAAUGGCCCGGUUCAUGAAGUCAACCCCAUGGAGACUACUGAAGUUUUUGCAGAAAACCACCUGUAGCUACAAGGGAUGAUAAAAAUGAAAACAUCUGGUCAAGAGGAAUCAUAUCAAGCAAGAUCAGCACAGGCAGACCAUGAUCAUCACCUAGAUCAACACGGCAUCAAGUAGUAGUCUAAUUGGACAGCUCCUUAUUACAGCCUUGGUUAUACUGUCUCCUGCCACCCCCACGCCUGCUGUUUCCAAACUAAAAAGCAAAGGCCUUCAGAGUUCUCCCA